UACGAAGGGGGCUAGCGUUGUUCGGAAUUACUGGGCGUAAAGCGCACGUAGGCGGACUCUUAAGUCAGGGGUGAAAUCCCGGGGCUCAACCUCGGAACUGCCUUUGAUACUGUGAGUCUCGAGACCGGAAGAGGUGAGUGGAAUUCCUAGUGUAGAGGUGAAAUUCGUAGAUAUUAGGAAGAACACCAGUGGCGAAGGCAGAUCACUGGUCCGGUUCUGACGCUGAGGUGCGAAUGCGUGGGGAGCAAACAGG
rnacentral:rRNA from 1 species